rnacentral:piRNA from 1 species
AGCUUUGAGCGGCAGAAGUACCUGAGC